rnacentral:rRNA from 1 species
AUUGAACGCUGGCGGCAUGCUUUACACAUGCAAGUCGAACGGUAACAGGCCGCAAGGUGCUAACGAGUGGCGAACGGGUGAGUAAUGCAUCGGAACGUGCCCAGUCGUGGGGGAUAACUACUCGAAAGAGUAGCUAAUACCGCAUACGAUCUAUGGAUGAAAGCGGGGGACCGUAAGGCCUCGCGCGAUUUGAGCGGCCGAUGUCAGAUUAGGUAGUUGGUGGGGUAAAGGCUCACCAAGCCAACGAUCUGUAGCUGGUCUGAGAGGACGACCAGCCACACUGGGACUGAGACACGGCCCAGACUCCUACGGGAGGCAGCAGUGGGGAAUUUUGGACAAUGGGCGCAAGCCUGAUCCAGCAAUGCCGCGUGCAGGAAGAAGGCCUUCGGGUUGUAAACUGCUUUUGUACGGAACGAAACGGCUCUGGUUAAUACCCGGGGCUAAUGACGGUACCGUAAGAAUAAGCACCGGCUAACUACGUG